CCUGAGAAACCCAAAAGAUCGAAUGGGGAGAUUCAUCGUCAGCGGCUUUGGCUUCCGUGCGGUACGCGAUGGCGGGGACCUCGGUCUCGCGUCACGCUGCCGCUGCGGCAUGUCCGGAGUCGUCGGCGUGCACUUCUCCCCUAGUAGGACGUCGCGACCCGUUGGGUGUCGGAUCGAUGGCCGGUCGGUCGUCUGUGCGUGGUGCGCUCGCGCAUUCGCACAGACCGAUUCGGUCGAAAGUCCGGCUGCCCGGCGGUAUUGAACGAUAUGAACUGGUAUCGGGCCGCACUCGAAUGCGUUCAGGCUCGUCGGCAGGCUCGUCUCGCUCGGAUUUACGGACCUAGCGCCGUUGCCGGGUGCUUGGCGUGGCUGUUAGUCGAUGAUGUCCUCGGACUGGUACCACUCGGCGACGCUACUGCUUUGGGUACUUUC
rnacentral:rRNA from 1 species